rnacentral:rRNA from 1 species
AACGAACGCUGGCGGCAUGCCUAACACAUGCAAGUAGAACGCGGCAGGCGGAGCUUGCUCUUCUGGAUUAGUUGCCAACGGGUAACUAACGCGUAGGUAACCUGCCUCGUACCGGAGGAUAACCUAUUGAAACGAAAGCUAAUCCCGCAUAAGAGUAGAUGUUGCAUGAUAUUUGCGCAAUAGGUGCAAUUGCAUCUAUAGCAGAUGGAUCUGCGUUGUAUUAGCUAGAUGUUGGGGUAACGGCUCACCAAGGCGACGAUACAUAGCCGACCUGAGGGGGUGAUCGGCCACACUGGGACUGAGACACGGCCCAGACUCCUACGGGAGGCAGCAGUAGGGAAUCUUCGGCAAUGGACGGAAGUCUGACCGAGCAACGCCGCGUGAGUGAAGAAGGUUUUCGGAUCGUAAAGCUCUGUUGUAAGAGAAGAACGAGUGUGAGAGUGGAAAGUUCACACUGUGACGGUAUCUUACCAGAAAGGGACGGCUAACUACGUG